rnacentral:lncRNA from 1 species
UUUUUUUUUUUUUUUUUUGAUGCCGGAUACUAUGUUACUACACGAGAAGAUCACAGUUUGUGGAAUCCAUGUAUAUGGAACCACAGAUAUGGAGGAACGAUGGAUAUAGAGUGCCAGCUAUAAAGUAUAUGUGGAUUUUCCACUGCACAAAGGGUCAGUGCCCUGAGUUGUUUGAGUCAACUGUAAUUCAUGAGAAUAGGGGGUUUAAUUUGCCUUUUUAAUUAUAUUUCCUUAAGUUUUAAAGGAAAGAUCAUUGAAAAUUCUCACAUUCUCCAUUUGUCUACAUGCCCCCCUCAGCAGCUGGUACAAGGAGGUGCUCAGGAAAAGUUAACUAAAAAAUAUGAAUCAGCACAGCAAGUAUGCAGUGCCUCCUAUUUUCCAGAGACUAUUAGGUCUGGGGGCACAGAGAUAUCUAAAGCAAAGGUCCUGUCCUCAAGAAAGUCACAGACAUAAAUCUAAAGGAAUAAAAACAUAUGCAGACAUACUCACAGUAUGAUAAAUGUGUCCAAAUAAAUAUACAUAUAGUAUCUCUCCUGCCCCUUCCAAAAUUCAGAAGUUAGCAGAAUACAGCCAAACCAAAAUAUUUUUCAACCCAUAAGCAUUUGCAGGCUUGAAAUCACCAAAGCAGAAACUUGAGGGUACAAAGACAGACUAAAGUACAGUCAGUGGAAUUCCUUGAAGUUACCCAUAAAUAUUCACCAAGCCUUUCCCCAGUCCUACACCUAGUCAUAAAUCCCCCUGCUUCUUUUCAAGAACUUUUAUAUUUGAUCAACGAUGCAGGGUGAUGUUUAAACCAGGCCAUUUGGAAUAUUCGAUUUUCAUACAUCGUUUUAAGAUUUUAAUUUCCACUCUGCAAGCCCGCUUGUAUUUUCCCUGUCCUGAAAUAAAUCAGGAUUUCCAAGACAUGAAAGCAAGCUCCAAGCACAGAAGGGCUUUCUGAUCGUUCAGCCUGGUUGCAUUGCUCAGUCAAGUCAUACGUACAAACAACUUACCUCUCACCUCAUCUCGGUCCUGGGGGGACAACCUAAAAAAAACUGGCAGCUAAUGUGGUGAGAGAAAAAUACCCAGCACUCAAGAUCAAUCUGUCACAAAGAGGCAAGAGUCAUCCAUCAAAGGAGAGAGGGACAAACUCGAAGAUGUUGUGAAACAUUUACUCAGCCAAUCUGAAACUAAUUGGCCCCUCUACUUGGUCUCUUUCUCCCCUCCUUGUCAAGCCAGAGGCCACAGAGCUAUAAAGGGAUAGCCAGCUCUUAGCAGCAGAACGGAUGAUGUAUACAGGAUAUUGCUAAUAUAUCAUAGAAUCGGAGUGUGUUAAAGCUGAAAGGGUCUUUGGAGUUCAUUUAGCCUAGUUUGGAGAGCCAGCACUUGGGGAGCAAGAAGAGCUCUGGACUUGAUCAGACCGGGACAGGGUUCUAGCCUCCACUUUGCUUAUUUUCAAGCUACGAGCUCUUAAGGAAGUCAUUUCAACCCGUCUGAAAAGUAUAUGCCUCAUCUGUCAAAAGGGAAAAAAAAUGUCUUACUCAUAGGGGUUCCACGAGAGUAUAAUAUAAGUAAGUUCACAUUGGAAAUACCACUGAACAUAAAAAUAGGUGAGAAAUUAUUAUCAUCAUUAUUGCAAACAACCCAAUAAAUGCUACCCAAAUCCAAUCAGUAAGAGUAGACUUAACUAAACCUCCACCUAACUGACCUGAUAGAAUCAAUAGUUUGCAUUGCUUUUGUAAAAGACAGAGUCGCACCGCAGCACAGAGCAUGUCCAGUGCUAGUGGAAUGGUCUCUAGCAUACCAGGAACUUAUCUCCCCCUAGUUCAGGGAUAUGAUGACCACAAGUCAAUUAUGUUUGGGAGUUCACACUGUGGCAUAAAGGGUUAAGAAUCUAACUGCAGUGUCUCAGGUUGCUACAGAGUCGUGGGUUCAAUCUCUGGCCCAGUGCAGUGGGUUAAAGGAUUUUGCAUUGCUGUAGCUCUGGUAUAAACUCCAACUGUGGCGCAGAUUAAAUCCCUGGUCCAGGAACUUCCCUAUGCUGUGGGUGUAGCCAUUAAAAAAAAAAAUCAUUUAUAUUUGUUCCCAUCCUUCUUUUGGCCACACCCUCAUAAUGUAGAAAUCCCCAGACCCAGGAUAGAACAUGUGCCACAGCAGUAACCAGAGGCACAACAGUGACAAUGCCAGAUCUUCAACCCACUGAGCCACCAGAGAACACCAUAUACUUACAAUUCUAGUUGUAUUUCUGAAAACAAUUAUAAAAAUUAAUUAAAUAUUAUGUAAAUAAAAUAUCUUUUAAUAAAGAUAUUGCUGUUUAUUUGAAAAUACAGAUGAAUGCUAUGUAAUAACUAUUUUAAAACAAUUUGGUAAAAGACACUACAUGUUCAAGUUUCUUUGAAAUGUCCUUUAUAUCCUGCUUCACUUUAUUAUUUAUUUAUUUAUUUAUUUAUUUAUUUUUACUUUUUAGGGCCACACCAGUGGCAUAUGGAAGUUCCCAGGCUAGGGAUCAAAUCGGAGCUACGCUGCUGGCCCACACUACAGCCACAGCAAUGCAGGAUCCAAGCCAUAUCUGCGACCCACACCACACCUCAUGGCAAUGCCAAAACUUUAACCCACUGAGCGUGGCCAGGGUUUGAACCCUCAUCCUCAUGGAUAUUAGUCAGAUUCAUUUCUGCUGCAUCACAACAGGAACUCCUCCUGUUUGAAUUUAAAGAAACUGAAAAUAUUAGAGCUUAUGAGCACAGUCAUUCAAGAGAGUCAACUCUAAUCAGUGAAUAGAUCUGUGGGCAAAGCAAAGGCCUUGCCCUACUUUGAGAGAUUGUUAUGUGAAUUUUGCAUUAAUAUAAUUCAUCAUCUAAUUAAAUCUAAUAACUAACAAACUCUCUGUGCUAACUGACUUGUAAGUAAUUAUUUUUUGUCAUUUAUAUACCUAUCUGCUGAUCUAGAGAAGAACUGACUAUAAAUCAUGUUUAACACGAGUUCCUUGUCAUUGAGGAAGCCAUGAUCUAGUUAGAUACUAGCAAAAUGUGCAAUACUUAUAGUUCAAUUAUGGACAUAAAAGUUAACUAAAAUUAUCCUCCAAGAGCAACAGUACCAAGAGAAGAAAGCCAGAUUUUUCAAAAUAGUUGGAGCAUUAUUGUUUCUAUUUGCCAUGACCAUAAACAUGGUUUUAUCUGGGAUCCCAUCAUUUAUUUCAGGGAUAAUGAAUGUUUCCUUAUUGUCAAUUCACCUUCAGUGCUUAGAACACAGGAGGUUCUCAACUGGUAGGAGCAAUUAUCAUGAAAGAUAUAAAGAAAGAGAAACAGGAGUUUCCAUUUUGGUUCAGCAGAAAUGACUCUGACUAGCAUCCAUGAGGACGCAGGUUUGAUCCCUGGCCUUACUCAGUGGGUUAAGGAUCCAAUGUUGCUGUGACUGUGCUAUAGGUCACAGAGGUGGCUCUGAUCUGGCAUUGCUGCGGCUGUGGUGUAGGCUGGCAGCUGUAGCUCUGAUUUGACUGCUAGCCUGGAAACUUCCAUAUGCCGUAGGUGUGGCACUGAAAGNAUGAAAAAAAAAAAAAAAGGUAAAAAAAAAAAAAAAAGAAAGAAAGAGAAACAUACACAGGACUUUGAGGUAGGAUUAAAUAAGAGGGGGGAAUCCAGGAGCAGGAAGAGACUGAGCAAAGGCCUGGAGGAGGAAGAAGUCCUGGAUCCAUAUUUUCUUAUAAACUUCUCUUGGACACUUUCUCAUACAUCAUGACCUCCCUACCUGUAUGCCAGAACUGACCUUGCUUGUCCAGCCCAAACAGUAGGAUUUUAAAAUCUGAAGUAGUUGCCACCAUUUACAUAUCAGAAUAUUUCAUGUACAGAUUAGCAGUUUCUCCUAGAAUAUCAGGAGGUCUAGCAACUCCAGCAUUCCCACAUGGAAGCAAUGGGCAGGCACUUUCCUGCAGGUAAGACAUGACCUCUCCCAUACGUCCUCGUCACCAUGGCUCCCUGGCUGGCUUCACUCAUUUUCUUUCCUUGAUAAUUCAGGUUUUGACCCCUUACUAAAGUGUGCCUUUCACUGUGGUGAUCCUGGGUCCCUGCCCUGGAGGGUAUGCAGAACAACAGGAAGUGGUUCAGAAGGCAGGUAAUGUGAAUCUCAGUGAAGAACUGGCGAUGGGAAAGGAAACAGAAAUAAAUGCAUUUCAAAGAAUGAAGUCAUGGGAAUCAAUAAAAGAUCAUGUCUUGGGGAAGGAGAGGCAGAGUUUAAAGUAAUUUUAGGGAUUGUAGCCUAAAACACCAAGAGAAAGGUGACUGAAGUGUGAUAAUUAGGGAAGAGAUCAGAAGAGGAAGGGAAAAAAAGAGGAAGAGAGGAGGAGGCAGGAAGGAAGGGAGAGAGCAAAGAAGAAUUUAAGUGGCUCCUAUACCAACUAUUUUCUCAUCAGCUAGUUUUAGGGGAAAUAUUAUGAUACAUUUCAUACAUGCUGAAUUUGGAGCUAGUGAAACUUCUAGUAAUGACUUCUGAUGGGCAGCAACUAAGAAAAGAAGAAAUUCAUCUCUUCAACAAUUUUUAAUAAGAAAGGUAAUAAUGACAAAAAUGUCUAAUCUGCAUUGAACAUGUACUCUAUGCCUGUUACAAUGGCAAACACUUCCUAGUUAGGAGAAGUCUUUUGUAAUUUUCUGAACAGUCGUAGGAGGUAGCAACAAUAAUAAAGACGAUACAUCAUAAUUGUUAAGAGCAAAUUCAGAGUCACUGUGCCAGACACUGUUCUAAAAGCUUUACAUACAUUAAAUCACUUGAUGAUUACAACAUCCUUGUGAAAUGGGUAAUUUGUUAUUAUCUGCAUUUUCAAGAUGAGAAAGCUAAAAUCAAGAGGAAUUAGGUAACUUUCCCAAGAUUACACAAGUAGUAAUGAUGGUGGAUUUCCCACCUAAGUCUGUCUGAAUCGCAGUUUGAGCACUGAGCCAUUACAAUCUAAUGCUCCCUGACUUCAGACUAUUCUACAAAGCACAACAGUCAUCAAAACUAUACGGUACUGGCACAAAUAUAGAAAUAUAGAUUAGUGGAACAGGAUAGAAAGCCCAGAAUUAAACCCACACACCUACAGCCAACUAAUCUAUGAUGAAGGAGCCAGAAUAGCCAUCAUCAAAAAGUCUACAAAUAAUAAGUGUGGGAGAGGGUGUGGAGAAAGAGGAACCCUAUUGCACUGUUGGUGGGAUUGUAAAUUGGUGCAACCACUGUGGAAAGCAGUAUGGAGAUUCCUCAGAAAACUAAACAUAGAACUACCAUUUGACUCAGCAAUCCCACUCCUGGCCAUCUACCCAGAGAAAACCAUGGCUAGAAAAGAUACAUGUACUCCAAUGUUCAUUGCAGCACUAUUUUCAAUAGCCAAGACAUGGAAACAACCUAAAUGCCCAUCGACAGAGGAGUGGGAUCAAGAAGAGGUGGUACAUAUACACAAUGGAAUAUUACUCAGCCAUUAAAAGGAAUGAAAUACUGGCAUUUUUAGCAACGUGGAUGGACCUAGAAAUUAUCAUGCUGAGUGAAGUCAGCCAUACAAUGAGACACCAACAUCAAACACUUUCACUGACAUGUGGAAUCUGAAAAAAAGACAGAAUAAACUUCUUUGCAGAACAGAUACUGAAUCACAGACUUUGAAAAACUUAUGGUUUCGGGAGGAGACAGUUUGGGGGGUAGGAGGAUGUGCUGGGGUUGUGAGAUGGAAAUGCUAUAAAAUUGGAUUGUGAUGAUCAUUGUACAACUAUAAAUGUAAUAAAUUCAUUGACUAAUUUUUAAAAAAGGGAAAAAAGAAAAUAAUUCUCAGAAAGUUAAAAAAAAAAAACUAAUACUCUGUGCCAGAAAUGGUUGUUGGCACUAAUGACUCAAAUAAUAAAAGAAGACAGGCAGUCUCUGCCCUCAAGGAACUCCCAAUCUAAAAGGAGGUACAGAUGUACACAAACACUGCAGGCUAAUCCCUCAGGGCAGUGGCUUAGCAGGUGCUCUGAAAGCACAGAGGUAGUGGAGCUGAACCUGCCUGGUGGGAGGAGGUCAGGCAAAUAAGUCCUCACGAAAUCACAGCACAAGGAAGCUGAAUUCUGGAAAGAUGGAGACAAAUUUGCCAGGCAGGGAAGAGAGAAAAAAAAUUGGCAAAAGGCAUAGAAGGAUGGGCGUUUAAGCCUUCUUUAGGGAACAUCAAGAUGUUUUGAAGGGCUGGGAAUUUUUAAUUGUGGAAAAAGGCAGAGAAAAGUGAAAUGUCACAGCACAGCAGGCAGAGCCAGACUGAAAGCCGUGCUAACGAAUGAAGUGAUAUAGACAACUAAGAUUUCUGCGAGCACUGUCAUGCACAAGGAGUAUGUUUUUGUCCUUCAGGUAAUGGGAAGAAAUUGAAAGUGUAACAUGCUCAGAUUUGUAUCAGAAAAAUGUCCCUCUUCCUCUUAUGCUGUUGGUAGGAAUCCCCUGGGCUUGCUGAAUAUAUAUCCAGAGAAAACUAUAAUUCAAAAAGAUACGUGUAGUCCAAUUUUCAUAUCAGUACUAUUUACAAUGGUCAAGUCAUGGAAGCAACCUAAAUGCUCAUUGUGGUGUGUGUGUGUAUAGACAGAUAGAUGGAUAGAGUGAGACAGAGAAAGAGAUAGAUAGAUAGAUAGAUAGAUAGAUAGAUAGAUAGAGAUAUACAUCACAUCUUCUUUAUAUACUCAUAUAUAUAUACAUAUAUAAUGAAAUACUACUCAUUACAUAAUACAUAUAAUGGAAUAUUACUCAGCCAUUAAAAAAGAAUUAAAUAAUGCCAUUUGCAGCAAUAUGGAUGGACUUAGAAAUUAUGAUAUUAAGUGAAGUAAAUUAGACAGAAAAAGGUAAAUAUCAUAUGAUAUCACAUAUAUGAAAACUAAAAAAGAUAAAAAAGGACUUAUUUAUAAAGUAGAAAUAGACUCACAGACAUAGAGGUUACCAAAGGGUAUAGUAGUGUUGGAGCAGGAAGGAAAAAUAAAUUUUCAGGUUCUUUUGCAUUAUAGGUUAUUACAAGAUAUUGAGUAUAGUUCCCUGUGCUAUACAGUAGGUCCUGGUUGUUUACCUAUUUUAUAUAGGAUAAGGACCCGAAUCCAGAGGGUAGAGAACAAAGGAUAAAGAGAAACUUCAGGAUUAUUUUGCAAGGGUAAUGUAACCUCUGGCUUUCUAUUAAUCUGUUAAAAGACAACAUGGUGGGAUAACUUUGACAAAUUCAGUUCGUGUCAGUUAUGCCAAAUAACCUUCUGUACUCAACCGCAAGGAAAGUUGCUAUUUUUGUCUCUUUAUAUCCAUGAUCUAGCUCUUUCCACAAAGGAUUUGAGGUGCCAGGAAAAUUACUAAAUGAAAUGU